UCCCAGUUCGGAUUGUAGGCUGCAACUCGCCUACAUGAAGUCGGAGUUGCUAGUAAUCGCGGAUCAGAAUGCCGCGGUGAAUGCGUUCCCGGGUCUUGUACACACCGCCCGUCACACCAUGGAAGUUGGGGGCGCCCGAAGUUGGUCGAGGAAUAGAUUACCUAAGGCGAAACCAAUGACUGGGAUGAAGUCGUAACAAGGUAAC
rnacentral:rRNA from 1 species